rnacentral:misc_RNA from 1 species
GAUGAAGAACGUAGCGAAAUGCGAUACGUAAUGUGAAUUGCAGAAUUCAGUGAAUCAUCGAAUCUUUGAACGCAUAUUGCGCUCUCUGGUAUUCCGGAGAGCAUGCUUGUUUGAGUAUCAGUAAACACCUCAACUUCCAUAUCUUUUUUUGAAAUGGGAGUUGGACUUGAGUGAUCCCAACGCUUUUCCUCACCGAAAAGUGGCGGGUUACUUGAAAUGCAGGUGCAGCUGGACUUUUCUCUGAGCUAUAAGCAUAUCUAUUUAGUCUGCCUAAAAAACAGAUUAUUACCUUUGCUGCAGCUAACAUAAAGGAGAUUAGUUCUUGUGCUGACUGAUGCAGGAUUCACAAAGACAGCUUCGGCCGACUUUGUAAACUCGAUCUCAAAUCAAGUAAGACUACCCGCUGAACUUAAGCAUAUCAAUGAGCGGAGGA